GGGGGACUUGCAGGAGCAGUCAGUGAGUGAGAAAGUGCGAAGGCGUAGGUGAGAGGAUCCAGCCAGGAUGACGAAGGACAGACUUGCAGCCCUCGUUGCGGCUCAAAGCGACGACGAUGAUGGUGGACCGGACGAUGUUGCCGUCAACGUGGAUGGUCGCGAUGGAUUCAUGGACGACUUCUUCAACGAGGUGGAAGAGAUACGGGAAAUGAUCGACAAAAUUCAGGCAAAUGUCGAAGAAGUCAAAAAGAAACACAGCGCAAUAUUGUCAGCGCCACAAUCCGAUGAGAAAACCAAACAGGAAUUGGAAGAUCUCAUGGCUGAUAUUAAGAAAACGGCGAACAAAGUUCGGGGUAAACUUAAGGGUAUUGAGCAAAACAUCGAACAGGAGGAACAAGCAAAUAAAUCCAGUGCUGAUCUUCGGAUACGAAAAACUCAACAUUCAACUCUAUCACGAAAAUUCGUAGAAGUAAUGACAGAGUACAAUAGGACUCAAACCGAUUACAGAGAACGGUGUAAGGGCAGAAUACAGCGACAGUUAGAAAUAACUGGCAGAACUACAACAAAUGAAGAACUAGAAGAUAUGUUAGAACAAGGAAAUCCUGCAGUGUUUACACAAGGUAUUAUAAUGGAAACGCAACAAGCGAAACAAACUUUAGCAGAUAUUGAGGCACGACAUGCUGACAUUAUUAAAUUGGAAACCUCAAUUAGGGAACUUCAUGAUAUGUUCAUGGAUAUGGCGAUGCUUGUAGAGAGUCAGGGCGAAAUGAUAGAUCGUAUAGAAUAUCAUGUUGAGCACGCCAUGGACUAUGUCCAGACGGCGACACAAGAUACGAAAAAAGCACUCAAAUAUCAAAGUAAAGCACGUCGGAAGAAGAUCAUGAUUCUGAUAUGUCUCACUGUCUUGGGUCUAAUUGUGGCCGCAUACGUCAGUAGUUACUUUAUGUAAACACGAACAACCACCACCACCACCUUCAAGAAAAUCAUAAAAAUAUAACAAGAAAACUCUAAAAUAAUAAAAUAAAAAAAUGAAAAAACAAAAACAAAUCUAAAAGAGAAUAUUGACAAAAUAUUGCUAUGGUCCUACAAAAAAAAAUCAAAAUAAUAAUAUCGUAAUAGGAGGAUAAAGAGAAACAACGCAACACAAUAAAUGGCUACAGAUGUUAUCUCAUACUCUUCAUAAGCUUCAAAUAAACAACAAACACAGGAGAAAAAGAGUCGAAGAACCUACCUACCUACUUCCCAAUCAGGACUUAGUAAACACUAGACAUAAAAUACAAACUAUAACAACAAUGGCGCCAAUCUGGCUAAAAAAUAAAUAUAUCAAGAAAUUAUUCCAAGCUCAUAAGAUACAAGCAAAUUAAAUAGUUUGUUACUCAGCCAGUGUUAGGGGCUGGGAACAACGUCAAGCAUCAUUGAAACCACCACAGCUACAUUAAACAUCAUCGACAAAUUACAUUUAUAAUAAAAACAAAUAUAUAUAAUGAAAAUUAAGCAAUUGUAUCAGAAAAUGAGAUUUUCAUAUUGUUGAUAAAUAUAAUAAGUUAUAAAAGGCAUUUAAAAAUAAGUAACAAAACAACAAAUACAUAUAAUGUACGUUACAAAUACUCAUUUUUCAUUAAAUUUGUUAUAUAGAUUUAGGCAAAAUCGCAUUUUCUGAUCGAUGAAUAAUUUUUUUUCAUAGUAGCAGAAACUUGCGAACUUCGUACUUUCAGUAAAACAAACACAAUGAUAUACUUCUUAUACAUAAAUAGAACUUCACUUAAUAAUACAGACGAAAUGCAAAAUCGGACAAAAGAAAGUUAAAGCAAGUGCAGACCGCACUCAGGAUAAACAUUGCUCUAAGAAAGAAACCAAUACCUACGCUUAAACAGAACACAAACAAACAUUUAAACGGCCAGCACUCAAAGAAACAACUAAAACAGAUAACCCUACAAAACACCUGGAAUACCCAAAGAAACAUUAUUCGAAACAUCAUGCAACAAACAUUAUUAUUUUCUAUCAAUUCUCUCUGAUAACAAAAAAAAUUGUUCAAGAAAAUGUGUGAUAUAAUCAAACAUUCAAAAAUAUAAAUAAUAUAUUAUUAAUUAUUAAGUAAGAGAUUAAAGGCGGAAAAAAUAAAUUAAAAAAAACAUAAGUACAUAUAUUAGAUAAGGUUGUAAAUUUCGUUAAAUUAAUUAAUUUGUAAUCAACAAAAGUGUUUUACCGUAUUUAAAACAAAAUUGAACUCUUUAUUACAUACUAAUUAGAUACUUUUUACUAAUUAAUACAAAAGCAUUACAUUGCGUGUGAGAAUUGAAGGUAACAGUUGAGAGUUGAAUAAGAAUAAUAGCUUAAAGAAUUAUAAAUAAUUAUUAGUUAAUUGAAAAGACAAAAAAUGCUUGAAACGUGUUGGAAGUGAAGUUUGAACAAAAAAUAAAACAAUUUCAUAGGCGAAAACUGCAAUUUAUUGGACACUUGAUUGCAAAACGAACGAAAAAGUAAUGAAUGAAACAAAUCAGAAGCUGUUUCAAAAUAUUUCCAAAAUUUUAAUGAUAGUUAAUUGAUUAUCUCGUCAAUCUUUCGAAUAAAAAUUACCAAGUUCAUCUCGAAUUUAGUUAGUAAAUUGAAUGGUUUUCUAUCUUAAAUUUUAUUUAAUCGUUGCAAUUAGCUAAAGCUAUCUCAUUUGAAAUGUGAGGUAAGUAUUCAAUUUUAAGGGAAGCCGUUGAGUUUCUGAUUAGUUAUAAAUACAUUGAAAAUGAAAGACAUAUACAAAUCGCAGGUGACAAAAAUAGUGAUCUUUUAUUUGGGUUAUUUUCUCCAAAAUUCGGUUGGGUUCAAAAUUUAGUUUCAACCGACUUCUGUUUCUUCUGACUCGAUUUCAUGAAGUGUGUUGUGUUCAGUAAGGCUUCGAAAUCUUCCCACUUGUGGAGGGAACAUCUUUUACCCAAUUCACUGCACAUACGGAUAAGGGAUAGGAUCGUUACUAACAUAGUCCAUAUGUGAUUUAAAAAAAUCUCACAACAGCAAGUCUAAAGCAUCGCACUUUGUUGGUAACUUUCGUGUUUUUAUAUGGGAAUGGGGACGGAUACUCUCAGUAAAUAUAUUUUGGACACAAUUUCAUAAUUUGUUUAAUUUUCUUACUUUUUACAGUUCUUCUUUUUCUAGAAAAACCUCAAAUAAAGAAGGGUGAAACAAAUGACACGAGUAUUAUACUUUUUCGCAAAUAGGAUGUCAAAAAUGAUUUUCCAGAUUUGUACAAAGCAAUUUUUGUUGCUGUAAUCUAGCUUUACAUUUAUUAAGUUAAUAAAUUAUUUAUUGAUUUAUUUUCUUGUUUCAUUAGUGUUUACCAAUGCAAAAAAUACGGGAACUGCAAGCGUUCUAUUCAACAGAUGAAGAGAACAAAAGCCAAAUUUCUUCAGGAUAAUUUGUGUAUGGCGUAUUUGAGAGGGUAAAACUGACACAAAAGGAUCUCUUAUUUGACAAAGUACAGCCAAUUUUAAAAUAACGUGCUACCCGCCAUUAUAUCUUUUGAAUCGAUUCAUGUAUAAAACGGACUUUCCGCUACUAAAAAUUCUAUCAAUAAAAAUUUCGAAAAUCGGUUCUAUAAACAAAUUUGUAUGUUCUUUAACGGAAGUUCGGUGUUUCUUAUGGUCCUUUUCGUUAAAGAGAGGUUUUUGCACAUAACCCAUAAUAUCACAUUUGUUUAACUUCAUGCAUUCAAAGAAAAUUGGCAACAAAUAGACCACCUAUUGCCGCUGUGUUGAUAGCUGUUUUAUGGCGAUUUUGCUUCUGGAGAUCAGUGCAUGAUUCCGUAUUUUUUUGUUUUAGCCUUUUUCCGGUAUCUUCUAGGCUAUCAACUUGGGAGGAACCCUUGUUCCCUCCUCAAAUAGACAUCUGAAAAAAUAAAAUAGGUGAUUGAAUACAGCUGCUACAACAGCCAGCAUCAAAGCAAAGUAUAUAGAAAUAAUCUAAAUAAUCCCCAAAUUAAGGUGGUCUUAAUUAAAUUUCAUGGAAAAAUAGGAGCAAACUGUUAAGAAUUUCAUGCUGCUCUGGAACACUGCGGUUCGUUUGUUUCGAACUGGGAAAAUGUAUUUGGGCUUAAGUAAAUUUCCAUUACAGAAUGUGUGGUUCGGCGUUAGAGACGUUGAAUCAUCUCAUCAUACAGUAUUGUGCCUGAUACUGUAUGCAAAGUGAUUUAUCGAAACCUUGCAUACAAGCAUGAACUAAUCACGGGAAUAUGUGUGAUUUACCGAUGCCGGCAUAUCUUGCUUUAACUGAUCGCCAUAUUCCACAAAAACAACUUGACGUGGCCUUAAUUGAAAAGACGGGGCGCUCCGCGUAUAUUAUUGAUGUUGUCAUCCCCAUAAUACCAACAUUGGGCAGAAAUACGUGGAGAAGUAGAAGAAUUAUGAGCCACUGGCUCGAGAAAUCGAGCAGAUUUGUCGUCUCGGGAGGUUGAUCCUAGUUCCCAUAAUAUGGUCAACUUCAGGUAUUGUACCUAAAUCCCUUGCAGUUUCUCUAAAUGUCCCGGAAUGCUCACACGGUUUGGUUCAAAUUAUGCAAAAGUAGAUCAUUCUACAAAAGUGCUAGAUGUUCCGAGGGGUUUUGGACGGACUUUUCCAUUAAGGUAAAGACGGGAUUGACGUUGGGCAGAACAUCACCAGCAAGUCGGCUCGCCGUAACUUUUCGUAUUCACAUCACAUCAUUUUAUUCAGUAGGUUGAAUUUGAGCAGCACCUGGAGUCAAUUCAUUAUUGGUUAACUAGCUUGAUAUGGAUUUGCCAUAUUGCGCACUGGACGUUAUCUAACUGCCGCACAACUUCAAAUGGAUGCAAGUCGUUCCACAGAUAGUAUUCCGCUGUUUUGUAUAUCUUCAUUCGAAAUAUGGUCCCCAUUUUGCGAGGAGUUGGGUCAGUUUCCUUCCCAGAUUUUCCCAUAAAUAUCUCUGAGGUCGUUCUUCCUCCAUCUACGACUGGCCCAUCGGCGAAGACAAAUAUCUCGUUAAACUCAAGGGGCCUAGCUUUGUCAGUCAACUAUGUUGACUUCGGAAGAAUAUAUCUUCUCAAAGAGGGAUUUAGCAUCUGAUAUUUAUUAGGAGAUUUCGAAACACAUAGCCAUGCGAAUGAUCUUCAUUUCAAGCUGAAAUGGUACUCAUGCAUCUACCUUGUUGCUUUCCGAUUCAUCUCCAAAAAUAUAUAACGUCUUGGGGGUGCAACAAAUGAUCUUAUUAAAUUUUGGAUUUGCUCCAGCAGUUUCCUGUUAUUGUUAAAGUCUAGCCUUGACAAUGCAAGCAUAUCUCAAAAUGGUUUUUAUUAUAUAUGUUAUUAUCCGGAAUUCCCGUUAAAAUAAAAUUUCCAGGCUUAGCCGUUUGUAGCUCCACAGAAUCAGGAUUUUUGUUAUUUCUCUAGGAAAUGAUGGUUAAAAAAGUCUGACUACACUGGUGGAUAUCUUCUUCAAGAAGUUGAUGCUGGAAUCUGUCGUAAUGCCGAAGCAUUUUAUUGUCGGCUUAGGCUAUAAUCUCUUCAACUUAUACAAGAACGGCUAUGGGAAUCCUUCCUUUAAUUAGGACGAUCACUUGCACUAAUUUGCUGCAUCCCCGUUCAAAGGGUCCGUCGGGCUGGUAUGACCGGACGUGCGACGACUAUUGUCGUAACAUCAUCUGUGAAUCCAACCAGACCAGACAAUUCAAUCUACAUCAGAUCCUUAUAUGAGGGGCUUUAGAGAUUUGCAUUAAGGAUGUGACUUUGACAUACGCAAAGGGUAGUCUCGACAUGCAAAUGAUUUUCUAACUCAUAUCGGCUUAUCUCGCAGAAUUUAAGGCGUUUUUUAAAUGCAGCAUUAUGAAGAGCACCUCUUUUCGACAUUGAAAAUUGUGAACUUCAGGUCGCCUGACCGCUUCCUCAGUGGCAUUAAAUAUAAAUCCAUAUCCCCAGGAGUCUCGCAGUCCUCUAGCAGGGGGGAAAGAUCCGCAGUGAAACAUAGAUUGAUUGUACUGAGUAGCAGAUCCGGCUUCUGCCUAGUAACAAGAUUUAUCAUUGCGUCCCGGCGCUUUUCUGUUUCUCAUGGACGACUCAAGAUGAAUUUUAAUUCUUUUACAGUGAAGAGCGCGCAGUCUACUGUCGAUGACUCCCUGUCAAUAACGUCACCUUGAAUAGGGUGGAGAGAAAAAGUGCUUGUACAAUUUCUUCCAUCUUAGCUGCUUCCUUGGAAUAAGAUGACCAAUAAACUCUAGGUUUUUGGAGUGGUCAGCUUAUACCUGAGGCCCCAUAGAGACAUGUAAAUUUCAGUGACCAGCUUGUACUUUUCGCCUGUUUGUUACAUGGCGUAGUUUCUUUUUCGUGGCUAUAUAUUCUGCAGAUUUAAGGUUUACUGCGUCUUGGUCUGUCGUGGAUUGUAUGAUCCCCCGACAUAUGAAGCAAUUUCUUAGCAAAUUGGCAAUUUUAGUUAUCCAGGAGUACAUAGAGGAGUUCUCCUGACGUGGUCUCCUUCGCCGCGGACAUUGCAGGCUACUGGGAGGAGGCCAUUUGUGUCCGGAACUAGUGGCUCAUUAACAACGGGAGACCGUCGGAAAUUUACCUCGUAUAAUUUCCCUCAACUUCCCAUCCGGUAGAUUGGAGCCAUUCGUCGCUUCGAAGGAAAUACAUGGUUGAUCAUUGGCUGCGUAAACUUUUUUGCCUUUUUUGCCUUCCAAUGUUGCACUGCUGGUCGUAAGUACUUUGUAACGAAGAUCAAGUCAAGGACAGUACCCUCGUUACCAGUGCAUUAACAUAUGGUAUUACUAUCGGUAUCUAGGGCAAUGAAUCUUUUUUUUUGCAGUUGUUGCUUUCGAAGUUGACUUCUAUUUUGCUAUGAUAGAGUCACUACGAUCGUUUUCCAGGUUAUAUUGAUGCUGUGCAUUUCCAUUUCUUUUCGACCCUUCUUGAUCCGCUUAGUUGCUACCUCGCGAAAUUUAUCUCAUUGCAUUAUUGGCGAAAGAUUUUCUACUUUUUCCCUUAGCCUCUAUUUGGCAAUCUACCAGGAGCUUCACUGAUAUGUUUCAGCUGUUUUUACCGUUCAUGGAGGUAUUAUAUUUCCUUGAACAAUGGUGGCAGCCUUCCUCUUCUUUAAGGUUGCUUGCUACGAUAAGGUCUACCCUCUCCCAUGAGAUAGCUUCCCAUCUAUUUGACGGCUUUUUUAUGUUUUGCUCGACAAGAGGAAUCAUACGACUCAGAUCUGGCUUUUUUGCUCACGACAUUUUUUCAGACCUCGACCUCGAUGGCGCCUCCAGUUUUUGGCCGCCAGAGUUAUUAUUUUUGAUCGAGCUAUUCUCCCUCUCACCACAAGUUCCUUUUUUUUUCCACUAGUACAGUGGUCUACUAUUUCCAAAGGGAUCUAGGAAAGUAACCGCUAUUACUUUGCAAAGAGCAUAGAGGUUUGUAAUAAAAUCCGCCAGUUUUGCCCCUAUUUUUAAAUUUCGGCUUUGUCAGUUUUGUGGUUCCAAUGUUAAAAUACGUCCCCUAAAAUAUGGCUGAGCUCGUACGUUACCCAUAGGUCCACACCGACACAAAUUCUUCUGAGGGUUUGUGCUCAGCUAGUCUGUCACAACUGAGGCUGUACCAAGAACUUAAUGGAGCUAUAGCGUGCUUGCAGCCUCACCAAGGAUAUUUUCGGCACAGAGGUAACUACAAAGUACUAGCCCACGAAUCACUUCCAUGAGAUUUGAUUCUGAGUACCAAGGCAACGGGAUACUUUAGCUCAUAUCCAAAUAAAUUCUAAUCGUCUGUCAAAUCAUAAAUCUGUGUUACGUUAAAUUGUUAAGUUGGUUUGUCUGCCUCUUGGCUAUCGAAGACUACCAACUAGGAGGUCUGAGUGGACUAGGUUUGGAAAUAAACAGAAAUCGUUGCCAGCCAAUAACUUUGCUUUGUUUAAAAAUAAUAAUAAUACUUCAAUUGGUCCAACUGUAAUUGUCACUGCCCUAUCCACAUCAAACCCCAAUAACGACUAGGAUUCAUGCUUGAAAAGAGGGUACAUCAUUGAAACUCAGGUAGAUUCCUCUAUGGUAAAUAUGUAAUUGCUACUUCUCUACUCGGAGGUAUUAUUAUCGGACCACAAAUGUAAAAGCCCGAACCAAAACAUAUUCGAAGGUCCUCCUUAGAUUUCCUAAAAUUUGUAACGCCACCAGUUAGUUGAACUCUCUGGGCCUUCUAUUCACGUCUACUAUGGCAUCUAGAUCCUUUUCUGCAUGCCCUCCUCUCCAGGAUCUGCGUUCAAUAUUUUAUCCUUGACGUAAAAAAUUAAUCAGACUUGCGUUCUCUCUAUUAUAAGUUUAGUUGGCCAUAAGCAUGACGGAUGUUUUAUAAGAUAAUUAGCUUUUUCUCACCGGUAGAUAUUGUGGGCUAGGGUGAAGAUAUCUGUCAUUUGCAACUAAGUUCACCUAUUCCCUUACUAUACUAAAAUUACCCUUCUUCUGCAUAAAUUCCAAAGAAAUACUCCCUUUUCGUGGUUGAAAUUGUUUACUUAUUAUAAUGAUUUAUCUUUGCAAAGCGAUUUUUUAGAGAAAAAAUGUCUGAGCAUCUUUUGCUAUUAAAACCACGUUCAAUGACCACCGCCUGGCUGCGUGAAAGAAGGUUGACAAAAUAACUGAUUAUGGCGUUUUGUUAUAUUCCUGGCGGUAUUAAUUCAAUGAAAAGUAUCAAAUUGAUCACUUUCUAAUGUAUGAAGAUUUAAAAGCUAUCUUAGAAACGGACAUUCUAUUCGGAUAUUUUCAUUUUUUUGACAAUUUUCUUAUUCUGGCCUAGAAGAGGUAUAAAUUGAAAAUAAAAUUCACAUGAAUCACGGGCCCUGUCAUAUAUUUCCGAUCUGGGCGGAAACAUCGAAAAUGCAUCAAUACUCGUCUGAAAGGUAAACCACAAUUGGUAGAUUGAUCAAACAAGAUAUCGAUUUCACCCAUUAACAUGAUUACUUUGUUACCAACAAAGUCGGUUGUAUUAUACUUUUAAUUACUACCAUCGCAACAUUGACACCUUAUACAUGUUUGUUGUCUUCUAAAGAUAAGGUAGCUAGCUAGCCAUUCAAGUUAGAAUCUAUAAAACAAAAGCGCACAGACACAUUCAGUAGUUUCAUAUAUUAUUUAAUUUAAACUUUUCCGUUGUGAAAAAGGCUGUAACAUUUAAAACAAAAAAUCUACGGAGAAAAUGAUAUAUAGAUCUAAAAUUAAAUAAAACUGAUCUAUUUAUCUAUCUACUAUCUAUUUACAUUUGUUGUACAAAAUGUAACUUGAAUUGGAUUUACUUCUAAAUAAUUGUAGUUCUAUUUUGUAAAUUUAGUGAAUCGAAAGAUAUUUUAUUGACAAAACAGUAGUGAAAUUAAUUCGAAUCAGUAGAGGCAUCAAUCUAAUUGGCUUUUUUAUACUACAAACAAAUCAUAGGGUCUUUUUCAUUUCCCUAAACAAAUAGUAGAUUGGCGAACAGAAUGUGGAUUUCUUGAAGAUUUCAUCAAUUGCUUUCACCACAUGUACUCGUAAAACGGUUACAGUAGAUGCGUGGAUGAUUAUAGAAUGUUUGUAGCAGACAUUUCAAGAAAAAAAUAUAUACAUAUACUCGUAUAAACAAAAAACAUUUUUCAUUGUUGCUAUUCUGUUCUACGAAAGCUAUUUACUGUAACUACCCUCAUAAGAACUUCUUGCUAACAUAGCAUUAAUGAAUGAAAUUUACAUACACCAAGAAAAACCAAGAAAAAAUAAAAAAUAUAAAUAGUACUAAAUGAAAAGUGAUCAUUAUCAACACAGAGACAUAAUGAUUAUGCAAUUAUUUUGCAUAAACUCGUAAUUAAUUUAGACAAUUAUAAGAGACGUUGGAAACAAUUGAGUGGAGCGAUUAGUGCGAAAGAAAUCUGUUAUCAACAAAUUGAAAGAUAAUAUUGAGAAUAAAUACGCAAUCUUGCGAAGAGUAAGUUGGAAGAAAAGGAAGAAACCAGUGAUUAAAACAUUAAAAUUUAAAGAGAUAAAGCGGAAGUAAGUAAAAACAAGAAAUUAUUAAAAAAGUGAUAUUAUCCAAAGCCUUUAGGAAGUUUAUCAUGGCAAUUGCAAUAUUAUUAAUGAAAAAAUGAAAUGCUAUGAUACUAUUGUACAUUUAUUUAGCAAUAACAUAACAACAAUUGUACUUUAAAACUGUUUAUAUUGUAGAUAAUAUAAUUGAAGUUUACAAGAAGAAAAAAUUGAUUAAAAUAGAGAUUCCAUACCAAUAGAAACAAGAGCAUUAGAAUUCGAUUAAUAUCAUAAUAUUCCUCUGUCUCUCUGUCUAUCCUCUUGGUAGCAUCAACCUAUUGAUUUUCUCGACUAGCGUGCAAUCCAACACAAUCUAAAUUUCUGUAGCUACUGAUUCUAUCUCAUUUCAUUUCUGCCCUCAGAAAAAUUCUAUAUUCAGGAGUGUAAUCAUGAUUCCAAAAUAAUAAAAAAACUAACAGCCAUUUGCCUAAGUAUCUCAGAAUCAUUCGAAAGUCCAAGAAAAAUGCAAUACUCUCAAAAACAUAUAUUUCUCAAGAAAAAGAAAGAUAAUUUAAAGCGAGAAUGAUCUCAAAUAGUAACGAACGAAGGUAAAACACGAAUAGUUAACUAAAUAAGUAUAACUUAAAAAUCAAAACGAAAUAGCCACAUUUUUUUAAUUAUAUGUGUAUGUAAUUAAUUUAAUGGAUGAUUUAUGGCUUUAAAGUAAUGUCCUUUAGUAAGAUAGAGAUAUAUACAUAUAUAUACAUGAAAUUUCGUUUUCAUGACUGACUAGCUUUACGACAAUGUCUAUUAUUUUUGAAACAAAUAUUUCAAGUGUUGCAGAAGCAACAUGGUAAAUUUCGGUAAUAUAAUUAGUAUAAAUCAAGCAAGAAAGCCAUUUAUUUUUAUUUUUCCUCUUCGGCGGCGAUGGUGUCAACAAUUUUAAAGCUUCAAAUUUAAUUUAGAAAUACCUAAAUGGAGAUUUUUUAUUUUGUUAAAUUUUAGAUUAAUUUUUAAAUAUCAUUAUCACUUUACUUUUGUAAAAUAAGUUACAAUUUUUUUAAAAAUUUUAUAAAAGGACUGAAAGUAAGGAAAAUGAUAAUUAUUACUAUAAAACAACUUAUUCAAAAACGUCCUGGAACUUGAUAAUUCCAAACUCAUUUUGAAAAAUAGCUGUCAAAUAAUUAUACCAUGGCCCUACGGCACAAUCUAUGUAAACCACAAUAAGUGAAGUUUGCGGGGUUCAUUCAGAAGGCAGGUAAAUUUAUGGUUUCAGCUCGCGUAUCUGCUUUUCUGUAGAAGAAGAAUGAGAUAAUGUGCAUCUUCCGAGACGUCUGCAUUUCGGAGUCUACCACCAACUCACAGAAUUCCUUCUCCAUCUAAAAAAGGUGGAUUUGCUUUAAUCUCCCUAUGGAAGUUUCAAUUUCUUCUCUAAAUUCUGUUGAUUGGAGCAGUAAAAUGAUUUCACUACAAGCUUGAUUAACUUCAUCUGACGUCAGUCUGUCCAUCUAAGUAAUCUGAUCCAUGUUGUUGUUUCUCCACAUAGACUUUUAAGUUUGGAGUAGUAUUCUAAAAUCUGUGGAUCAGUUGUCGAUGUGGUCUUGUUACUAGCUCUGAGGGCUCUUAGCAUCUCCUUUGGUGUGAGCUGCGGUUAUUAGUUUAGUUUAGUGGAUGAACCGCAGCUCUAAGCAAUCAGACCUUUGUUAGGUCUAUUGUACUACCCCCGGAGAUCGCUUAUUCAAUGGCCUCUCGCCUACGGCGUUCGCAGGCUUUCAUGAGUUUGAAAACAUUCUCCAGAGAUAGAGAAUGCGGAGCCUCUUCGUUGAAGAAAACCUCACCAAGGUAUCUUCAUCUGAAGUCUUACGAAAUCGGGCGGCUGCAUAUGAAGCGCAGGGCCGUCUUUUCUUCCUCUUCAUAUUAGUUGCAUAUAGCAGAGACUAUUAUUCCAUUUUUUCCAUGUGGUAGCUUAAGGGACAGCGUCCCGUUAAAAGUCCUGCUACAGUUUUUAUGUCCCACUUUUUAAGGGGCAAUAAACAGGCCGCUCUAGCCGCCCCGGGUGGAAUUUCCCCCUUCAGACCCUUGGCGAGUCAGUCUGUCAGACUCCCAGUCCUGGCAUCAGAAAUGUUUCCUUCAGUCGGCCAAGUUUCAGGUGCUUGCUUUUGGACUUCUUCAGCAAUUGAUUGUGUGCGCAAAUUCGGUCGAGCAAAUUUCGCAUACUCAACUCAUGUAGUGCCCACUUAUCGAGGUCCUUUGUAAAUUCACCAUACGAUUAAAAAUAGUAAAGUAAUGGACGUGCAACUACUCAAUUCAUUCCAUUCAGUAUCAAAACACCUAAUUUUGUUUUAGGAAUAAGGGACCCCGGAAUAUACAUCUACUCGAUGACGGCCAGGACCAACAGAGGAGAAAAUGCCUCUCACUUUUUCGGUCCAUACCUAAAACAAAAUUGGGUGCACUUCGAUCGCUUUAUGCCUGAUUCAUCCUGAACGUCGCAACUACUUUCGGCUACGCUGUUUCGAAGCCAGUAGUGAGGUAGACGUUUUUGUAAGUUACCUCUGCUAUCAGCAGAACCGUCAAUGUUCACUUUUGAAGAGCUGGUUGUUGUUCCCGAAACGUGGAGACCAAAAAGAAUGGGGAACAAUUUCUCCCUAACUGGUCAGAUUCGCCAUUAAUUGGAAACGAAAUCUGGGCUACCAAAUUCAGAAAAUGAAACUAGUAGCUCAGCUUCGUUUUGACAGGGAUUGUUCAAAGUUAAUUUGUAAUUAAAAAUCAAUGUGUUUGAGUUUGCUGUUUCCACUUUUAAACUUAGUAUCUUAAUUACUUUAAAUUUUCAUUGGAAUCAUUGGAAAGGAACUUUGACAAUGAGUUUAUUUGGAAGUGUCUCUUUUUUUAUUUAUCAUCAAAAUUAAACUCAACGAAGUAGGUUUAUAAUAGGAGACUAAAAUUUACACAUUCAAGUCCGCAGGCCUACAUUUCGCAAAGCAGUUUAAAUAGCUUGAAUAAUCCGCUCCCGAAGUGCCCUGGUCUCUUUGCACAAUUUACAGUAGGCUUUGAGCCUUGCCCUACUGCCUACUGCGUUCUUAACACUUUUAAAUUUAGGCAGAGAUCCAUUCUUCUCACUGGUAGAAUCUGGCAUUUUCUUGGGUCAUUUUCUGAACAGUUUUGCUAUCAAGUAUCAAGUGAGAGUCAAAGCCUUUUGGCUAAAGGUUUUGUUUCAUUUCCGUCAAAUAUUUCGGAAACCAAUUUUCCCUUUUUUCAGGGUCGAAUACAUAAAAGAGUAUGCGGAAAGAAAUUCUUUAGCUGUACAACGGAGACUCCUCCGAGGUGCUCGAGCGAACCUCACACCAUUGCCGCAACCUCUUGUAAAAAUAUGAGAUUCCCAGUCGUUAGCUUCGCCCCUAAGCCACUUCAUUUCUUGGAGUGUGAAGACGUUGAUUAUUACGGGGAAACUCUUUCCUUUCAAGCAACUAUUCGAUAAAGGGCUCACAUAUUCCAGGAUCCAAAGGUAUGGUCCAUUUUUCGUUGUCCAAGUCGUUGUCAUAUCAUCCGCUUAAUCCGAGUCUGUGUCCUUUCGUAAGAAGAUGUUUUAGCUUCUCGCCUAAUUCCUAACUUGCAAGGUCAGUUUGGUUGAUCUCCCCUUUGCGCGUAAGACUCCUCCCGAUUAUCCUGUGCCUAAUAUUUCAAUAAUCACGAAUGGAGUGGUCACGGCAAGGAGCAUUCGGUACAAUAGCUGUUCAUAUUUCUUACAUUUGGCCUUUUCUCGACAGUGCAGCAGAAUGCUUAUCACCAUUUGAACUACCAUUGACUUACUUCUGUCUAGCAUGCUCUAGUGCAGAUUGACCCCUUCGAAAUGACAUUUUAUAUUGGAAAUCACAUCCUGGUCUCUUCACUAGUUCGUAGGUUCGCCCAGUGCUCUGAGUCGCUAAAUUGUUUUCAGUUUUUCUCCGUUCGUAGUCGCUUCUCUUUUAAGGUUUUACAUGAAACCGAAGCCUUGUUAAACUCCUUAUGAAUCAUUGCCAUUAUGAAAUUCACCGCGCGCCAGUUUCCUCCGACUUCAGCAUAAUGCUUUGCAAGGUUGUGCAAACCUCCAGAGUAUCUUCUUAUUUGAGUGAAGUUAAGGUGUACUCAGAAACCGUCAGGAAUUGUGUUAAAUGAUGGUUCAAUUCGACAUGUCGUGGCUAAAUCUACCUAUUAAUACUGGAAAUUAAAAUGUAGGGCCAUUGGCUCUUUUGUUGGUCGUUCUACCAUUCUUCUUCUUCUUCUUUUUCUUCAGCCUUUGUCCCGUUCACAACCGGGGUCGGCUCUUCGUGAUCGAUUUCGCCAUUUAGCUCUAUAGAAUGCCUGAUCUGGGUGCAAUCUCGAAGCUUUAA